rnacentral:tRNA from 1 species
GCGGUCGUGGUGGAAUGGUAGACACGCAAGUUUGAGGGACUUGUGGGCGUAGGCCUGUGUGAGUUCAAAUCUCAUCGACCGCACCA